UACGGGGGGGGCAAGCGUUGUUCGGAAUUACUGGGCGUAAAGGGCUCGUAGGCGGCCAACUAAGUCAGACGUGAAAUCCCUCGGCUUAACCGGGGAACUGCGUCUGAUACUGGAUGGCUUGAGAUUGGGAGAGGGAUGCGGAAUUCCAGGUGUAGCGGUGAAAUUCGUAGAUAUUGGGAAGAACACCGAUGGCGAAGGCAGCCAUCUGGACCGACACUGACGCUGAGGCGCGAAAGCGUGGGGAGCAAACAGG
rnacentral:rRNA from 1 species